CAGAUUGAACGCUGGCGGCAGGCCUAACACAUGCAAGUCGAGCGGCAGCGGGAAGUAGUUUACUACUUUGCCGGCGAGCGGCGGACGGGUGAGUAAUGUCUGGGAAACUGCCUGAUGGAGGGGGAUAACUACUGGAAACGGUAGCUAAUACCGCAUGACCUCGCAAGAGCAAAGUGGGGGACCUUCGGGCCUCACGCCAUCGGAUGUGCCCAGAUGGGAUUAGCUAGUAGGUGGGGUAAUGGCUCACCUAGGCGACGAUCCCUAGCUGGUCUGAGAGGAUGACCAGCCACACUGGAACUGAGACACGGUCCAGACUCCUACGGGAGGCAGCAGUGGGGAAUAUUGCACAAUGGGCGCAAGCCUGAUGCAGCCAUGCCGCGUGUGUGAAGAAGGCCUUCGGGUUGUAAAGCACUUUCAGCGAGGAGGAAGGCAGUCGUGUUAAU
rnacentral:rRNA from 1 species